rnacentral:misc_RNA from 1 species
AAGUCGUAACAAGGUUUCCGUAGGUGAACCUGCGGAAGGAUCAUUACCAAAAGUUUAAUCCAAAACUCUUCAACCCUAUGUGCACAAUGGCUUUUGUCUGUCUUUGGGGUGAUGCGAAUUGUUUCGAUAAUUUGCUUUGCCCCACAUUUGUUAAACCCUUUUUGUAUUUAAUUUGGAAUGUUUUUUAAAAUAAAUAAAAAUGGACAACUUUUAACGGUGGAUCUCUUGGCUCGUG